UUCAGCUCUUUCCGCCAUUGGUCUGUGCCGCCACAAUGGUGCGUAUGAAUGUCCUGGCUGAUGCUCUGAAGAGUAUCAACAAUGCCGAAAAGAGAGGCAAAUGCCAGGUUCUCAUUAGGCUCCAAAGUCAUCGUCCAGUUUCUGACUGUGAUGAUGAAGCAUGUGUGGAGUAAUCAGCCCCAGAUUUGAUGUGCAACUCAAAGAUCUAGAAAAAUGGCAGAACAACUUGCUUCCUGUCAGUUUGGUUUCAUUGUACUGACAACCUCAGUGGGCAUCAUGGACCAUGAAGAAGCAAGACAAAAACACACAGGAGGGAAAAUCCUGGCAUCAUUUUUCAAGGGAUGUAAUACAUAUGUGGAAAUAAAAUGCCUCACAGG